rnacentral:lncRNA from 10 species
AAAUAACGCAGGGAAGGGAGAGUGGAGGCACGAGGGCUGCUGUCAACAGUGGUUAGGGUGGCCUUGGGGCCUCUCGCAGGCAGGACCACGGACGUGGGAAGAGGAGCCUCAAGAAUGUCUGGGUGUGGCUGGGCACGGUGGCUCACACUUGUAAUCUCAGCACUUUGGGAGGCUGAGGCGGGCAGAUCUGAGGUCAGGAAUUCGAGACCUCUUGGCCAACAUGGGGAAACCCCAUCUCUACUAAAAAUGCAAAAUUUAAAAUUAAACCAGGCGUGGUGGUGGGUGCCUGUAGUCCCAAAUACUCAGGAAGCUGAGGCAGGAGAAUCACUUGAACCCGGGAGGCAGAGGUUGCAGUGAGCUGAAGUCACAUCAUUGCACUCCAGCCUGGGUGAUGAGAGUGAGACUCUGUCUCAAAAAAAAAAGUCUGGGUGCGAAGGUACCAAGGCACAAGUCUGCAAGAGCAGCCAGGAAGCCUGGGUGGGCUGGUGCGAGGGAGUGAGUCGCGGAGCACAGAGGGUGGCACUGGGGGGUAUGGCGGGCGGGAGCGCUCUUGGGGGACCUUGUGGGGUGAGUCUGGCUUUUUGGCGGCAACUCCCUGGCCAAGUGUGAGCACCUGGAAGCAAAAGGAUGGGGCAGGACUCCAGCGCUCGCGGGUGCUCUCUGGUGGCCACGGGGAGAAGAGGCUUUGGGCGGCGGCGGGUGCCAAGGUCAGGGCAGAGUGGGGGCUGGACCCCCACGGGGCUUUGGACGGCACAGAUCUGAAGUGGAGCCGGCAGGCCUUGCUGGGGCUGGACUUUGGGGAGGAGGCCUCUAGUGGGGCCAGGUGUGGUGGGGGAGUAGGGUGGCCGCUGUCUGUGUUACCAGUGGACCUUGAGCUCCAAGACUGCCUGGCCCGCCUAAGCUGGUCCAUUGGGGCCCAAUGCAUAACCCUGGCUCUGAGCCUCAAUCCUGUCCACAUAAAGGAGUGGAGCCCGGUCCCCCUCCAGGGAGGGGAAAGAACUCGUGUCCAGGGAUCCACGCCAUGGCAGACGUGGGCUCUUGGGGUAGCAGGAGCCGCCUUAUGGGGGAAUAGGGCUCAGCUGGUGACACCUUCUGCC